AUCUAUUUUCUUUUAUUCUGUACUGCAUAUUCAUAUAAUAUUUCAUUGUUUUGAUCCUUAGCAUCAUAUGAUGGCGGAACAGACUCCGGCUACUGGAAUGUAUCUUUAUGGCGACCUUGACUUGAAGAUCAUUGAAGCUCGGCGGGUGCCAACAUGGAUUUGUUGUCGGAGCGUAUUCGCCGGUGUUUUAGUCCCUUUGACAAUUGCCGGAAGCCUUUCGUUAGAGAUAACAAGCCCCCACACCAGCAUAGAAUUAUUACCAGUGACCCUUACGUUACGGUUUGCCUUGCGGGAGCCACGGUGGCUCGUACGCGCGUC
rnacentral:misc_RNA from 1 species